CCUACGGGGCGCAGCAGUGGGGAAUAUUGGACAAUGGGCGAAAGCCUGAUCCAGCCAUGCCGCGUGUGUGAAGAAGGCCUUCGGGUUGUAAAGCACUUUCAGUGGGGAAGAAAGCCUUGGGGCUAAUACCCUCGAGGAAGGACAUCACCCACAGAAGAAGCACCGGCUAACUCCGUGCCAGCAGCCGCGGUAAUACGGAGGGUGCGAGCGUUAAUCGGAAUUACUGGGCGUAAAGCGCGCGUAGGCGGUCUGAUAAGCCGGUUGUGAAAGCCCCGGGCUCAACCUGGGAACGGCAUCCGGAACUGUCAGGCUAGAGUGCAGGAGAGGAAGGUAGAAUUCCCGGUGUAGCGGUGAAAUGCGUAGAGAUCGGGAGGAAUACCAGUGGCGAAGGCGGCCUUCUGGACUGACACUGACGCUGAGGUGCGAAAGCGUGGGUAGCAAACAGGAUUAGAUACCCCGUAGUC
rnacentral:rRNA from 1 species